rnacentral:rRNA from 1 species
CGAACGGGUGAGUAACGCGUGAGGAACCUGCCUCAAAGAGGGGGACAACAGUUGGAAACGACUGCUAAUACCGCAUAAGCCCACAGGUCGGCAUCGACCAGAGGGAAAAGGAGCGAUCCGCUUUGAGAUGGCCUCGCGUCCGAUUAGCUAGUUGGUGAGGUAAUGGCCCACCAAGGCAACGAUCGGUAGCCGGACUGAGAGGUUGAACGGCCACAUUGGGACUGAGACACGGACCAA